rnacentral:rRNA from 1 species
CAUGCAAGUCGAGCGGACAGAUGGGAGCUUGCUCCUUGAUGUUAGCGGCGGACGGGUGAGUAACACGUGGGUAACCUGCCUGUAAGACUGGGAUAACUCCGGGAAACCGGGGCUAAUACCGGAUGGUUGUUUGAACCGCAUGGUUCAGACAUAAAAGGUGGCUUCGGCUACCACUUACAGAUGGACCCGCGGCGCAUUAGCUAGUUGGUGAGGUAACGGCUCACCAAGGCAACGAUGCGUAGCCGACCUGAGAGGGUGAUCGGCCACACUGGGACUGAGACACGGCCCAGACUCCUACGGGAGGCAGCAGUAGGGAAUCUUCCGCAAUGGACGAAAGUUUGACGGAGCAACGCCGCGUGAGUGAUGAAGGUUUUCGGAUCGUAAAGCUCUGUUGUUAGGGAAGAACAAGUGCCGUUCAAAUAGGGCGGCACCUUGACGGUACCUAACCAGAAAGCCACGGCUAACUACGUGCCAGCAGCCGCGGUAAUACGUAGGUGGCAAGCGUUGUCCGGAAUUAUUGGGCGUAAAGGGCUCGCAGGCGGUUUCUUAAGUCUGAUGUGAAAGCCCCCGGCUCAACCGGGGAGGGUCAUUGGAAACUGGGGAACUUGAGUGCAGAAGAGGAGAGUGGAAUUCCACGUGUAGCGGUGAAAUGCGUAGAGAUGUGGAGGAACACCAGUGGCGAAGGCGACUCUCUGGUCUGUAACUGACGCUGAGGAGCGAAAGCGUGGGGAGCGAACAGGAUUAGAUACCCUGGUAGUCCACGCCGUAAACGAUGAGUGCUAAGUGUUAGGGGGUUUCCGCCCCUUAGUGCUGCAGCUAACGCAUUAAGCACUCCGCCUGGGGAGUACGGUCGCAAGACUGAAACUCAAAGGAAUUGACGGGGGCCCGCACAAGCGGUGGAGCAUGUGGUUUAAUUCGAAGCAACGCGAAGAACCUUACCAGGUCUUGACAUCCUCUGACAAUCCUAGAGAUAGGACGUCCCCUUCGGGGGCAGAGUGACAGGUGGUGCAUGGUUGUCGUCAGCUCGUGUCGUGAGAUGUUGGGUUAAGUCCCGCAACGAGCGCAACCCUUGAUCUUAGUUGCCAGCAUUCAGUUGGGCACUCUAAGGUGACUGCCGGUGACAAACCGGAGGAAGGUGGGGAUGACGUCAAAUCAUCAUGCCCCUUAUGACCUGGGCUACACACGUGCUACAAUGG